rnacentral:rRNA from 1 species
GAUGAACGCUGGCGGCGUGCCUAAUACAUGCAAGUCGAGCGAAUGGAUUAAGAGCUUGCUCUUAUGAAGUUAGCGGCGGACGGGUAAGUAACACGUGGGUAACCUGCCCAUAAGACUGGGAUAACUCCGGGAAACCGGGGCUAAUACCGGAUAACAUUUUGAACCGCAUGGUUCGAAAUUGAAAGGCGGCUUCGGCUGUCACUUAUGGAUGGACCCGCGUCGCAUUAGCUAGUUGGUGAGGUAACGGCUCACCAAGGCAACGAUGCGUAGCCGACCUGAGAGGGUGAUCGGCCACACUGGGACGGAGACACGGCCCAGACUCCUACGGGAGGCAGCAGUAGGGAAUCUUCCGCAAUGGACGAAAGUCUGACGGAGCAACGACGCGUGAGUGAUGAAGGCUUUCGGGUCGUAAAACUCUGUUGUUAGGGAAGAACAAGUGCUAGUUGAAUAAGCUGGCACCUUGACGGUACCUAACCAGAAAGCCACGGCUAACUACGUGCCAGCAGCCGCCGUAA